rnacentral:rRNA from 1 species
AGCGAACGCUGGCGGCAGGCUUAACACAUGCAAGUCGAGCGAGCGGCAGACGGGUGAGUAACGCGUGGGAACGUACAUGUUGCUUCGGGGCAACACAGGGAAACUUGUGCUAAUAGCGGAUACGGAUAGGUCGGUCCGCGUCCACUUAGCGAGUGGGUGGGGUAACGGCUUACCAAGGCGACGAUCCGUAGCUGGUCUGAGAGGAUGACCAGCCACACUGGAAAUGGGACACGGUCCAGACUCCUACGGGAGGCAGCAGUGGGGAAUAUUGCACAAUGGGCGCAAGCCUGAUCCAGCCAUGCCGCGUGUAUGAAGAAGGUCUUCGGGUUGUAAAGCACUUUCAGCGGGGAGGCGUUACCCACAGAAUAAGCACCGGCUAACUCCGGCCAGCAGCCGCGGUAAUUC